GCAGAAUUUUCUAUUACGCAAAGUGGGUGGAUCAUUGUGCAGACUUCUUCUGGACUCCGGCGAGUCCGGGUCACCAAUGAAUUUCAUUUAAAAUCCUGAUCUUCUGAAGAAGUUCCAGCUUCACCUGCUGUGAUGUCAGAUCUCAGUUGUUUUUGACUUUUAAAGACCCAUUAAAGAGUGAAGGGAUUGUGUCUGUGUUAUUCCAUGGUGUCUGUGGGAGCUCGUAUCAUUUACAUUAAGCAGUAUUUUACUGUCAUGUUACUUAAUAAUGUAUACAUGUUUCUUUAUUAAUAGGUUUUAUAGUAACUCUAAUCAGAAUCUUUCUGGUAAUGAAUCGGGCCCUUUUACUCAUUACACUUAAAUAAACAACAUUCCUGAAAAACAUCA